CUGUAGUACUGCUGUGCUGGUCUGUAGUAGUCCUGUGCUGGUCUGUAGUACUGCUGUGCUGGUCUGUAGUAGUCCUGUGCUGGUCUGUAGUAGUCCUGUACUGGUCUGUAGUAGUCCUGUGCUGGUCUGUAGUAGUCCUGUGCUGGUCUGUAGUAGUCCUGUGCUGGUCUGUAGUAGUCCUGUACUGCUCUGUACUGCUCUGUGUCCAGGGCUCUACAGUGUCUGCGGUAGGUAGUCCUGUGCUGGUCUGUAGUAGUCCUGUGCUGCUCUGUAGUAGUCCUGUACUGCUCUGUACUGCUCUGUGUCCAGGGCUCUACAG
rnacentral:lncRNA from 1 species